GAUCUUUAUUUUUAUUUUUUAUAAAUAAAAAAGAAUUAUAUUUUUUAUAAAAAAAUUAAGAAUUUUACUGGGGUGGUAUUAAAAUUUAAUAAACUUUUAUAAUUUUUUUACAUUAAUAUAUGAAUAUUUGAUCCAAUUAUAUUGAUUAAAAAAUUAAGUUACCUUAGGGAUAACAGCGUAAUUUUUUUUUAGAGUUCUUAUCGAUAAAAAAGAUUGC
rnacentral:rRNA from 1 species